rnacentral:rRNA from 1 species
CGUGUGCGACACCUCCUUUCUUUUUUUGCCUCCGAUACGUGCACCCGCGAAAGUGGCGCGGGGGGGGCCCUCUCUCUCCGGAGGGCGCCGCCCCCCCUCGUGCCUUUCGUUCCAAACCGCCGCCUUUUUUUCUGUAUUGCGAGUGAUCGAUAAGGGCGUCUUCUUCGGAGACGUGAAAGAAACACAACUUUCAACAACGGAUCUCUUGGCUUUCGCAUCGAUGAAGAACGCCGCGAAAGCGCGAAACGUAAUGUGAAUUGCAGAAUUCAGUGAAUCAUCGAAUCUUUGAACGCAUCUUGCGCUCCUCGGCACUCCGAGGAGCAUGCCUGUUUGAGUGUCGUGAAGUCUCUCGAAAGGGGUCCCGUCCCCUUCGGAUUUGGACGCAUGCCCCGUGAAAGGGCUCGUCUUCAAACCCAUCGCCCGGAGCGCGCCGCCUUUCUCAGACGUGAUAAGCUUGCGUCGUCGGAAGGUGGGCGGUCUCCCGGACGCGUCUCCGUCUCCCUCGCGGAGGGACGGAAAACAGCACUUACGAUGUUUUUGACCUCAAAUCAGGCAGGACUACCCGCUGAACUUAAGCA